rnacentral:lncRNA from 1 species
AGGCAUUAAAUAAGAUUACCCUCUUCUUACAAUUGUUGUUUCUAUUGCUUUCCCUAUGUCAAUUGAUAUCAGUGACUUGUAGUUGAUAGUGGGAAUUUCCGUAGUCAUUUUUCACUAGUAUUUCCCUUCAAUUUCAUAAGAUGGUUUGGAUAGCAUAAAUUUGGAGUUGCAUCGUGAAUUCUGCCAUUUCUAUGGAUUCAGAAGUUAGUUGGCUUCAUUUGUUGUUAGUUUCUAUCUUACCAGGUGAUAAAUGUUCUUUGGCUUUUCCUUUCAUCUUUUAAUGUUUUGCUAAGUUUCUGGAUUGAAAAGGAUGCAGAGAGGACAUGUUGUCGAGCUGUUACCCAUAUUUGAAGUUGAUUAGAACAGUAAACAGACAUUUGUUUGAGGGAAGCAUGAUUAUGUAGAAAACUCAAUUUGAUGUUGCUUCUCUUUUGGUUAUUGGAUUGUAGGAGCAUUGGGGAAGGACUAAAGCCCAUUAGUUAGUGAGGUGUGCCAUGUUAAACAAAAAAAAAUGACAAUUGCAUGGCCCUCAUUUAUAUUGAAUUGAUCCUUAGAAUACGAGGCGAGCCAUUUAGUCAAAAUUCUAUGGCCCUCGCAAAUUUGCAAACGCAUAUUCAUUUUAGGCUAGUUAAAUAAUUCACUUUCCUAAAUACGGGUGCACAUAUAUAUGACCCAAAUCAGAGUUUCAACGAAGUUGGAAUGUGUCAAAAUUCACGGGUGCAUUUAUGUGAUGUGGUUCGAGGCAUGUUUUAACACGUUGCAAUUCUCUUUAAAAUAAUGAUAAAAGUGGUUUAAGGUUAGAAAGCAUAUAAGUUAAAACAUGUUCUAAAAUCAGGUAAUUUAAGCCAAAUAUAAUAGUUGAGCGACCGUGCUAGAACCACGGAACAUGGGAAUGCCUAACACCUUCUCGGGGGUUAACAUAAUUCCUUACCCGGAGUUCUGGUUCGCAGACUGUUAUAUAGAGUGAUUCCUUCCUCGAUUCGGGAUUCUAACCGGUGACUUGGGACACUAUAAAUCUCCCAAGUGGCGACUCAAAAUUCUCUCAAAAUUGAAUCCUGUUUCGAUUGUCCUUUAAUUGGAAAAACUCCCUUAUCUACACCCUUCGCCGGGUUGGAUAGCAAAAAGGAGGUGUGACAGCUCUGGCGACUCUGCUGGGGAAGGUGGACCCAUAAUCUCUGGUUCAGGGUUCAAGAAUUCGAACUUACAAUAACUGUUAUAUUUGGUUUCUUCUAAUUUGUUUACCUGCUCUGUGCUAAAUGCCGCAUGUUUUACCACUUUGAUAUUAUCAAAACUGUAUAUAUAAACUGUUACGACACCCUUCACUUCUCACCUCUGAGGAUGUGCUUACUAGUUGAGACUCCCUAUUCUGUUAGUGUCUUACCCUAAAAUAAGAAAGAGGCCGGACAAGUUACAAAGCUGGACGAUCUCGCGG